rnacentral:rRNA from 1 species
UACGUAGGGGGCAAGCGUUGUCCGGAAUCAUUGGGCGUAAAGAGCGUGUAGGCGGCUUGGUAAGUCCGCUGUGAAAGUCCAGGGCUCAACCCUGGAAUGCCGGUGGAAACUGUCAAGCUUGAGUCCGGAAGAGGCGAGUGGAAUUCCUGGUGUAGCGGUGAAAUGCGCAGAUAUCAAGAGGAACACCGAUGGCGAAGGCAGGUCACUGGGCCGCAACUGACGCUGAGGAGCGAAAGCAUGGGGAGCGAACAGG